AACGAACGCUGGCGGCAUGCCUAACACAUGCAAGUCGAACGAGACCUUCGGGUCUAGUGGCGCACGGGUGCGUAACGCGUGGGAACCUGCCUUUAGGUUCGGAAUAACUCAGAGAAAUUUGAGCUAAUACCGGAUGAUGUCUUCGGACCAAAGAUUUAUCGCCUUUAGAUGGGCCCGCGUUGGAUUAGCUAGUUGGUGGGGUAAAGGCCUACCAAGGCGACGAUCCAUAGCUGGUCUGAGAGGAUGAUCAGCCACACUGGGGCUGAGACACGGCCCAGACUCCUACGGGAGGCAGCAGUGGGGAAUAUUGGACAAUGGGCGAAAGCCUGAUCCAGCAAUGCCGCGUGAGUGAUGAAGGCCUUAGGGUUGUAAAGCUCUUUUACCCGAGAUGAUAAUGACAGUAUCGGGAGAAUAAGCGCCGGCUAACUCCGUG
rnacentral:rRNA from 1 species